rnacentral:rRNA from 1 species
CGAAGGAUGCAAGCGUUAUCCGGAUUCAUUGGGUUUAAAGGGAGCGUAGGUGGCCUUAUAAGUCAGUGGUGAAAUCUUCGAGCUUAACUCGGAAAUUGCCAUUGAUACUGUAGGGCUUGAGUAUAGUUGCCGUUGGCGGAAUAUGACAUGUAGUGGUGAAAUACAUAGAGAUGUCAUAGAACACCGAUUGCGAAGGCAGCUGACGAAACUAUAACUGACACUGAGGCUCGAAAGUGCGGGGAUCAAACAGGAUUAGAUACCCUGGUAGUCCGCACUGUAAACGAUGAUUACUCGCUGCUAGAGGGCAACUUUUAGUGGCUUAGCGAAAGCGAUAAGUAAUCCACCUGGGGAGUACGCCGGCAACGGUG